rnacentral:rRNA from 1 species
GUCGAUCGGAGCAGCAAUGCUUAGAGGCGAACGGGUGAGGAAAACGUAGUAACCAACCCUUUAGACUGGGAUAGCCACUGGAAACGGUGGGUAAUACCGGAUAAGCUCGAGAGAGGAAAGGCAGAGAAGCGCUAAAGGACGGAACUGCGCCCCAUCAGAUAGUUGGUGAGGUAAAGGCUUACCAAGUCAAAGACGGGAAACCGACGUGAGAGCGUGUACGGUCACAAGGGCACUGAGAGACGGGCCCUACUCCUACGGGAGGCAGCAGUGGGGAAUAUUGGACAAUGGACGAAAGUCUGAUCCAGCGACGCCGCGUGGAGGAAGAAGUCCUUCGGGAUGUAAACUCAUGAAGCUAACGAAUAAGACGGAAGGGGAACCUUCCGGGAGAAGGUAAUUAGUGAAAAGCCCCGGCUAACUACGUGCCAGCAGCCGCGGUAAUACGUAGGGGGCGAGCGUUGCCCGGAAUUACUGGGCGUAAAGGGAACGUAGGUGGCUCUUAAAGUCAGGUGUGAAAAUAACGAAGCUUAACAGGUUAAUGCGCUUGAAACUAAAGGGCUUGAGGGCAAUAGAGGGAGAUGGAAUUACCUGUGUAGGGGUGAAAUCCGCAGAUAUAGGUAAGAAGGCCGGUGGGGAAGCCGAUCUCCUGGGUUGACUCUGACACUGAGGUUCGAAAGCUAGGGGAGCAAACCGGAUUAGAUACCCGGGUAGUCCUAGCCGUAAACGAUGCUCACUGGGUGUGGGUCGAAAAGAUCUGUGCUGAAGCUAACGCGAUAAGUGAGCCGCCUGGGGAGUACGUCCGCAAGGAUGAAACUCAAAGGAAUUGACGGGGGUCCGCACAAGC